rnacentral:rRNA from 1 species
AACCGCAUGGUUCAGACAUAAAAGGUGGCUUCGGCUACCACUUACAGAUGGACCCGCGGCGCAUUAGCUAGUUGGUGAGGUAACGGCUCACCAAGGCGACGAUGCGUAGCCGACCUGAGAGGGUGAUCGGCCACACUGGGACUGAGACACGGCCCAGACUCCUACGGGAGGCAGCAGUAGGGAAUCUUCCGCAAUGGACGAAAGUCUGACGGAGCAACGCCGCGUGAGUGAUGAAGGUUUUCGGAUCGUAAAGCUCUGUUGUUAGGGAAGAACAAGUGCCGUUCAAAUAGGGCGGCACCUUGACGGUACCUAACCAGAAAGCCACGGCUAACUACGUGCCAGCAGCCGCGGUAAUACGUAGGUGGCAAGCGUUGUCCGGAAUUAUUGGGCGUAAAGGGCUCGCAGGCGGUUUCUUAAGUCUGAUGUGAAAGCCCCCGGCUCAACCGGGGAGGGUCAUUGGAAACUGGGGAACUUGAGUGCAGAAGAGGAGAGUGGAAUUCCACGUGUAGCGGUGAAAUGCGUAGAGAUGUGGAGGAACACCAGUGGCGAAGGCGACUCUCUGGUCUGUAACUGACGCUGAGGAGCGAAAGCGUGGGGAGCGAACAGGAUUAGAUACCCUGGUAGUCCACGCCGUAAACGAUGAGUGCUAAGUGUUAGGGGGUUUCCGCCCCUUAGUGCUGCAGCUAACGCAUUAAGCACU